rnacentral:rRNA from 1 species
UACGAAGGGGGCUAGCGUUGCUCGGAAUGACUGGGCGUAAAGGGCGCGUAGGCGGAUGGUACAGUCAGAUGUGAAAUUCCUGGGCUUAACCUGGGGGGCUGCAUUUGAUACGUAUGGUCUAGAGUGAGGAAGAGGGUCGUGGAAUUCCCAGUGUAGAGGUGAAAUUCGUAGAUAUUGGGAAGAACACCGGUGGCGAAGGCGGCGACCUGGUCCUUUUACUGACGCUGAGGCGCGAAAGCGUGGGGAGCAAACAGG